GACGAACGCUGGCGGCGUGCUUAACACAUGCAAGUCGAACGAUGAAGCUUAGCUUGCUAGGUGGAUUAGUGGCGAACGGGUGAGUAACACGUAGGUAAUCUGCCCUGCACUUUGGGAUAAGCCUGGGAAACUGGGUCUAAUACCGAAUAGGACACACUAUCUUUACGGUGGUGUGUGGAAAGCUUUUGCGGUGUGGGAUGAGCCUGCGGCCUAUCAGCUUGUUGGUGGGGUAAUGGCCUACCAAGGCGUCGACGGGUAGCCGGCCUGAGAGGGUGUACGGCCACAUUGGGACUGAGACACGGCCCAGACUCCUACGGCAGGCAGCAGUGGGGAAUAUUGCACAAUGGGCGAAAGCCUGAUGCAGCGACGCCGCGUGGGGGAUGAAGGCCUUCGGGUUGUAAACUCCUUUCGCUAGGGACGAAGAGUUACAUUGACGGUACCUGGAGAAGAAGCACCGGCUAACUACGUGCCAGCAGCCGCCGCAGUAA
rnacentral:rRNA from 1 species